UCCCUGGUGGCUUAGACGGUAAAGAAUCCGCCUGCAACGCAGGAGACCUGGGUUCAAUCCCUGGGUUGGGAA
rnacentral:tRNA from 1 species